ACGGAGGGUGCAAGCGUUGCUCGGAAUCACUGGGCGUAAAGGGAGCGCAGGCGGUUAACUAAGUCAGGUGUGAAAGCCCAGAGCUCAACUCUGGAACUGCAUCUGAAACUGGUAAACUAGAGGAAGAAAGAGGAAAGUAGAAUUCCUGGUGUAGAGGUGAAAUUCGUUGAUAUCAGGAGGAAUACCCGUGGCGAAGGCGGCUUUCUGGUUCUUUUCUGACGCUGAGGCUCGAAAGUGUGGGGAGCAAACAGG
rnacentral:rRNA from 1 species